CCCUUAGAUGUUCUGGGCUGCACGCGUGUUACAAUCGGGAGUACAACAAGAUUGCAAAUCCUAGUGGAUGAGUGGUUCUUCGAAAUUUUCUGAAGACUGGGAUAGUUGAUUGAAAUUAUUCAACUCGAACGAGGAAUUCCUUGUAAUCGUAAUUCAUUAUAUUGUAAUGAAUACGUCCCUGCCCUUUGUACACACCGCCCGUCGCUCCUACCGAUUGAACGAUCCGGUGAAUUAUUUGGAGUAGCUCUGGAAGUUGCAGAACUUCCUAUGUCACGAAAUUUUGUAAACCUUAUCGUUUAGAGGAAGGAAAAGUCGUAACA
rnacentral:rRNA from 1 species